rnacentral:rRNA from 1 species
GACGAACGCUGGCGGCGUGCUUAACACAUGCAAGUCGAACGAAGAGCGAUGGAAGCUUGCUUCUAUCAAUCUUAGUGGCGAACGGGUGAGUAACGCGUAAUCAACCUGCCCUUCAGAGGGGGACAACAGUUGGAAACGACUACUAAUACCGCAUACGAUCUAAUCUCGGCAUCGAGGAUAGAUGAAAGGUGGCCUCUACAUGUAAGCUAUCACUGAAGGAGGGGAUUGCGUCUGAUUAGCUAGUUGGAGGGGUAACGGCCCACCAAGGCGAUGAUCAGUAGCCGGUCUGAGAGGAUGAACGGCCACAUUGGGACUGAGACACGGCCCAGACUCCUACGGGAGGCAGCAGUGGGGAAUCUUCCGCAAUGGACGAAAGUCUGACGGAGCAACGCCGCGUGAGUGAUGACGGCCUUCGGGUUGUAAAGCUCUGUUAAUCGGGACGAAAGGCCUUCUUGCGAAUAGUGAGAAGGAUUGACGGUACCGGAAUAGAAAGCCACGGCUAACUACGUG